rnacentral:lncRNA from 1 species
AGAGGGGGAAUGAAUGCCUCAGCUCCCAGCCUUGAUGUGUUCUGCGGGAACUACAGGGCCUCCAUCGCACACUGCAGGACUGGACCAAAGUUUCCCUCGCAACUUCCCACAGAUUGGGUGGCAGUUCUCAAAGAAUACACCUGAUCUUACCAUACCUGAUGUAAGACAAUGAUGCUACUGAGAUACAUGACAACAUGCACCUGCUUCUGAGGAGCUCAUAAUGCAGCCUGCAGCACAGAUCUUCACCAAGA